AUUGGAGGGCAAGUCUGGUGCCAGCAGCCGCGGUAAUUCCAGCUCCAAUAGCGUAUAUUAAAGUUGUUGCAGUUAAAAAGCUCGUAGUUGAAUUUUAGGCCUGACCGGACGGUCCGUCUCUGGCGAGUACUGUUCUGUUGUCGGGUCUAUCCUUCUGGUGAGCCGGUAUGCCCUUUAUUGGGUGUGUCGGGGAACCAGGACCAUUACCUUGAAAAAUUAGAGUGUUUAAAGCGGGCUUUUGCUUGAAUAGAUUAGCAUGGAAUAAUAGAAUAGGACGUUGGUUCUAUUUUGUUGGUCUAGGACCACCGUAAUGAUUAAUAGGGAUAGUUGGG
rnacentral:rRNA from 1 species